GGGAAUUUUAGAACUUGAAGGAACUUACUAAAAAGUGAGAAAUUUGUAAGUAAAUUUUCAAUUAUUAAAUAUUUGAUCAAUUUCUAACUUAUAAAAUAAACUUUAUAUUUAGUCUUUAUAUUUUGAAACGUGGUUAACGACUUGAAUGAUACAUAACUAGUAUUGCUUUUUUGGAUCUAAACUUAUGGAUAUUUUAAGGCUCUAAACUCCCUAUAUUAGAUCAAAUUGUGUACUGUUUCCUUUUGACUGGUCCCUUAAAAGUUAAAGACAACCUUGAAUAAGUUCGGGCUUUCUUACAAGCUAUGGACUGCUUCGCUCUAUCCUAAUUUUAGGUUAUAUGUGUGCUUGUAGUUGUUGAUUUAGUAUUGGAAAUGUGAUGUUUUUAGAUAUGAAUUGAUAUAAAAUGGAUUUACUUUAAGAGUGUGCGUUAUACAUCCAUGUUUUUAAAAUGUUUAAAUUAUUUCAUAAAAAUUAAAACAAUUACAGAUAGAUGCGACUUUUGAGGUGUGCCUAUCUGGGGGUGUGCCUGGAUUGUCAGAAGUAAUACAUAUAAUGUACUUUGUAAUUAUCGUAUAGGAACAUUGUUUAGCAAAGCAAACUUUGCAUAUUGCAGCUUAACAAAGCAAAUAAACUGGUAUUAAUAGGUGAUAUUUCAAUAUUGAAUUUAUCUGUAAAAUAUAUGUAUAAUAAAACGAACAUGAAUUAAUGACAGUAUAUUUGAACUGAAAUCUUCUGUAUCCAAGUUAAGGAGGCUCGAGUGUACACAAAAUUCAGCAAAUAUUUAAACAGUUUUUUUUCAUUUUAAUUUUUUUAUUGCAUAUUAUUGUUACUUUUAUAAUGUGGUACAAAAAAUAUAAUUAAUAAAUUAAUUCGUUUUUGCCAAAGAUGACUUUUAAAAUAUUUAUAUCAUUGAAACAGUUCCAAAUUAUCUCCCUUUGGUAAAAAAAAGCCAUUUGUUUGCAUUAAAAUUGAAAUAUCUUAUCGGUGAUCUAAUUUUUUUUUAUGUGUUUCUAAAAAGAUGCACUUGAACUAAACAAUUGUAAGAUUUAAGCGGAUUCUGUAAUUUAGUUCUUUUUUUAAUUUCGAUAUUACCUUUUUCCCCCUUAGUUCAUCAGAAAAAAAAUAAUACCAUAACAAAAAUGCAUUCUUCUUUUUAAGGCAGAUUGAGAACUUAAAUGAACGGUGACCCCGUAUUUUUAUUUUAUUUUUUAUUAAGUUUACGAUAAAGUUCAUUUAAAGAAAGAAAGAAAAGUAGCGAAAUCCUAUGUUUGAAAAACAUAUUUAUACCCGUGAGCCCCCUUAAGCCAAUUAGCUGUUGCUAUAUCCCAGUUGCAUCAUUAUGCAACCAAUCAGAAUCAACAUGUGAUUAGUUAUUCAUUUAAAAUGGCGUGUAUGUCGACUAAAACUAAUAGCUCCACAUCGUGAUUUGAAGUAAACAGACUGAUUCUUUCAAACUCGACAAGAGUGUUUUUUAACGACAUUAACUACCAAUGAGGGUCUUGCUCGGUCGGCAAUCUAAAAUUCACUUGAACUUUUAUAAAAAUAAUAAAACAGAUUUUGUGAUCUCCUUUUCUCAUUACAUUUUUCAAAGAAACCGAUAUCAUAUACGAUAUAUAACAACGCUUUAUUGAUUAGAUACGCGGGGAAAGUAUUUAUUGAACAAACACCAGUUUGUUUGAAUUUCGAUUUGUAAAUAUCAGUAUAUAAUAUUUCAUAAAAGUUUUGAUAAAUUUUGCUUUUCUUUUGAUAGUUUACAAUUCAUUCGAGCAUUCAUUUAACUUUUAACAUUUGAUUUUUGCAAUAUUCAUUUGGUAUUUCAUUGAUUUUCAAUAUUGAAUAUUUAAAUGCUAAAAAGACUUUUAAUAAUUUACCAACAAAGUUAUAAAGUUCGUGGGUUCACUGAUAUAUUACAGUGGAGUUCAUGGAUAUUCAUCAAAAACUUCGAUUCAUUCUCAAAAUAUCUUUUUUUACAAAGUACAUUAUGAAAAUCUGGCAAUUAUCACCUGCUGAACAAACAUUAAAUACAAAUAAUAUCCAAACCAUGGAGACAACCACAUUAUCCACUGACUCCUUCUCUUCUGUUGUAUAACACAACUAAUAGAUAAGUAUUAUAUAAAUGCCCGUGAUCAUUGUAGUUCUUCUGAUCUUGUAAGACUAUAUCGAAUUUUUGAGUUUCUCAAACAAAUUUUUAAAACCUUCGAAAAUUUUUUAUCCAAUCGGUUGAAAUUAAUGAAAUAUUCAGAGCAUGCAGGUGCACCUGUAUUAAAAUUCCCAUUGUUAAUUAAGAUAAAGCGAAACCAAACGUUCACGGCUUCCCUCUUCAUCUUCACACAAUUACUAUCAUUGUUUUCAUAGAACAUUGCAAGGUUCAUGUUCGGAACCAUAUCGAAAUAUAUUGGGUUUACUAAUGUCCUGCAAUAAUUAUAUCACAUAAUCUAAAAUUAUGUUUAUAAAGAGAUAGAUUCCUUCUGAUAAGAAAUUAUCAAGUUUGUAUUUUAUAUGCUAUAUAUAAAUGUUAUAUGUUUGCAAUCAAUCCUACACUAAUAUAGCGUUUCGGCGAUAUUUUUUAUGAUAAAUAAAAUAUAUAGGUCCGCCAUCAUCAGGGACUGUCCUAUAUAUCUAAAAAAUUAUGGUUUCUUUACCUUGGUCGAUGUCAGAAUAUCUGAUAAAUUUAUGUGCCUUUUAUAAGCAAUUAUCGGUGUUUUGGUGAAUACUUAAUUGCAAACCACAUUAUAUCUCAUGAAAUGCCAAUGUUUUAAAAGGUGUUUUCGUAAUUAGCUUAUGCAAGGAUUAUAUUUAGUAGCCAUUACAAAAGGACAUUGACAUUGCAUUGACACACAAGACAACUUCAUCUCUGCGAUAUUGCGGCAGUCAUGGCAAGACGCGUUAAUGUUCAUAUGAAAAAGAAAAAGUAUGACAAGCGCCAAAAAAACAAAGUUGCAAUGCAACAAUCGAAAAUAAAAUUCCAAAUAAAACAGGCUAAACAGAAUGUGGUUAAUCUGUCAAUGAAAACUUUAACUGACAAUGAAUAUUUGCUGCUUUCAAAAGGGUUGAAAUUCAUACCUGCUCCCGCAUUGAAAGGGGCAAACAAUGAUUUAAUGAGAGACUUUAAUGAAUUUGCUAGAAAAUUAAGAUGUAAAUUUCUGUUUUAUUCAAAGAAUGAAAAUAUACACCCAUUCAGGGAGAAUAGCAAAUAUGAACCUCCCUACAGCUGUGAUUCACUUGAAAAUUAUAUUUUCCAAGCAAAACAUGAGUUGUCGUCAAUGCAGCCUCGAAGAUUUAGAGACAAUCUGAAACCUGGUGAGAGGUCAAGCAUAUCUUCACUUUUGCGAGACAAAUCAAUUCUUAUUAAGAAAGCUGAUAAAAGCAACAAUGUUGUUAUUCUUGAUAAGAGUUUACUUAUCCGAAGCUUAUCGGCAAUUACAACGCAUCACUACACAAGUCUGACGGUUUUGACUUAAAGGUUCUCAGAAAUAAUAUCAAUGAUUAUGUCACUAGAAUGCACAUUCAUAAUGAAAUUGACGACAUUUCAUUCAAAUACAUGAUAAAUGGCAAUCCAAAAAAUUACAGACCGGGACAAAUGCAUAUAUUACCGAACAUACAAUGAAAGUUCCAACUAUGUACUGGCUUCCGAAGCUACACAAAACACCUUACAAAUAUAGAUUUAUUUCGUCUUCAAGCCAUUGUUCCACUACUAAAUUGUCUAUUCUUCUUACCAGCACACUUGGUACAAUUGAAAACCUGAUAAUAACUUGUUCAAAUAAGGCCUUCGAAAAUAGCGGAAUUAAUUACUUUUGGAGUGUCAAGAACUCGUGGAAGUACUUGAUAAAAAUUCAUGCUUAUAUUGGUGAUUUUAAAUCUGUUCAAAGUUUUGAUUUUUCUACCCUGUAUACCACAUUAAGACACAAUUCACACACCUACUUAAAUGGGCAUUUAAAAAGUCAGAAUGGGAAUAUAUAUGUUCAAACUCUUUUAUAGAUAUAGGAAGAUGUGGUGUGAGUGCCAAUGAGACAACUCUCCAUACAAAUACAAUUUAAAAAGUAAACCAUUAUAGGUUAAAGUACGGCCUUCAACACGGAGUCAUUUUUUAGUAGCAAUAAACAAAAAAAAACUAUGUCAAUUGGACAUGCUUUGAUACUAUAUAUGCCCUUGAAUUUUUACUAGAUAACAUUUUUGUUCGCUAUGGGGAUUCCGUAUAUCGUCAGAUAUUCGGAAUUCCAAUGGGGACUAACAUUGCACCACUUAUUGCGGACCUGUUUUUGUAUUGCUAUGAGUUACAAUUUAUGACAAAAAUAUAUACAUCUGAUAAACAAAUUUAAUAAUACUUUUAGAUAUUUGGAUGAUAUUUUGGCUCUCAAUAAUGACGACUUCAGUAUGUAUAUUAAAGAAAUUUAUCCUGUUGAACUUACUUUAAAUAAAGCUAAUAUAACAAUACCACUACCCUUUCUCAUCUUGAUAUCUAUAUCACUAACGGAAAGCUGAAUACUAAAAUUUAUGUUAAAAGAGAUGAUUUUUCAUUUCCUAUCGUUAAUUAUCCAUUUUUAGAUGGUGACGUUCCCUUGUCACCAUCUUACGGUGUUAUAAUAUCUCAAUUUGUACGAUUCGCUCGUGUAUGUAACAAUGUUUUAUAUUUUAACGAGAGAAAUUUAUGUAUUACUGAAAAAUUAUUACACCAGGGUUUUCGAUAUCACAAACUAGUCAAAACAUUUACUAAAUUUUAUCAUCGGUAUAAGGACAUCAUUCGUAAAUAUAGCUCAACAUGCAGACUUCUUAUACGUUCAGGUAUUUCACAUCCAAUUUUUUUAUGGUAAUAUUCUUUUAUAAAGCACAAAGGUGUCAGUAUUCACCUCAAAAACUAACAAAACCUUUGAAUAGACUUAUUAAGAAGGGAUAUAGUUACCGAUACUGUUGUCAGGUCAUUAAAGAUUGCAUAUUUUUGGCGUUAAUAUUGAUUCACUGAUAUAGGUCUUUGCAUCGGAUCUAAACACAUUUAUUCAAAAACCAGUUGUUGGCAUGACACGGGUUAUGUUCUUCUCAUAUAUGUUAUGAUGGUAUGAUACUAAACCCCUAACGGGAAGGAUUGUGCCUGAUGUUCAUAUGAUGAAAUCAUAAUCUUUCAGUCAGUUUAAUUGAAGUCUGGAGCUGGCAUAUGUCAGUUAACUGCUAGUAGUCUGUUGUUAUUUAUGUAUUAUUGUCAUUUUGUUUAUUUUCUUUGGUUACAUCUUCUGACAUCAGACUCGGACUUCUCUUGAACUGAAUUUUAAUGUGUGUAUUGUUAUGCGUUUACUUUUCUACAUUGGCUAGAGGUAUUAGGGGGGGGGGGUGAGAUCUCACAAACAUGUUUUGCGCCUGUCCCAAGUCAGGAGCCUCUGGCCUUUGUUAGUCUUGUAUUAUUUUAAUUUUAGUUUCUUGUGUACAAUUUGGAAAUUAGUAUGGCGUUCAUUAUCACUGAACUAGUAUAUAUUUGUUUAGGAGCCAGUUGAAGGAAGCCUCCGGGUGCGGGGAUUUCUCGCUACAUUGAAGACCUGUUGGUGACCUUCUGCUGUUGUUUUUUCUAUGGUCGGGUCGUUGUCUCUUUGGCACAUUCCCCAUUUCCAUUCUCAAUUUUAUAAAAUAAAUUUAGAUUAUGACAAUGUCAUGAGUAUAGGAUUUAAUAUUGAUUUAAUAGUUCCUCCAGGGAGACCUAUCAUUUCCGAGAUUGGUACGAUCACUGAAUACAUAGGUCGUUCAUGUUCGUUCACUAUAUCAUGUGGAAUAUCUUAACUCGCCCAAACGGGCUCGUCUAAAUAUUUCACCUGAUAUAGUCAGUAUCAAAGACGAAACUACCUAUUAUUCUAUAUAUAAUUAUUGAGUAGAACAUAUAAUCAUGCUUUUAUGUUGAGGUGACCUUCGAUAUCUUUUUAUAGGUUUACGGAUAUCGUUAUUUGCUCAAACAGAUAAUGAUGUUUCUUCAUUAAAUCCGCUGAAUGUUUACUGACACAAAGAAAAAACAGUAGAUUUAUAAAUUGAAAAUGACUUUGACCAAUCGGUUGUUGUUUUCAUGCAUAGUGCUGGUCAAGCUUUGUUCAGGAGAAUUAUUGUUUUGUUUGUAUUGUGUGCUUUUACAAUGCCUUCCAAGGCUACAAGAAAAGUAAAGUACAAACAAAUAUCGACUAUAUUCGUUAUAGCCGGGGCUUUGAUAGAAGCGCUUUGCAUUGGUUGAUCUUUCCAAUUAUUAUUUUUUAAUUUGCCAAUAAAAGGUAGUUGAAUUUCUCUGUUUAUUGUAUUUUGUAAUGUUUGUUUUUAAUUUUUUAUCUGGUAUGCGUUUUAAAGCCCGUGUUCUUAACCUAUUCACCCUUCUUCAACGUAUCCGCAUUUUCCACAUGAUUGAAUACAAUACGUUUUUAUAAAUACUUUAGAAUUGAAUGCUUCUUUUUUUGUAAAUUCAUUGGGGUGUUAAAGCUUUGACCGAAGUAUAUUUUGCUUCAUUCUAAAUUGUGCGCACGGUCACUGAUUUUACAACGUUAUGAAAUUAUUUAAGAAGCAUUCCAUUCUUAGUUUGAGCCUUCUAAAAAACAACGGACUGCUUCGCUCUAUUCUAAUUUAAGGUAAUAUGUGGGCAUGUGGUUGUUGAAUAAGUAUUGGAAAUAUGGUAUUUUUAGAUAUUGAUUGAUUUAAAAUGGAUGUACUUUCAGAGUGUAUGUUAUACAUCCAUGCUUAUAAAAAAUUGAAAUACUUAUUGAAAAUUUAAAACAAUUAUGAAUAUACUCGACUUUUGAUGUGCCCAGAAUUUUAGAAGUUAUGCAAUACAGAUAAUGCAUUUUUGUAACUAAACAUUGUAUAGGAACAUUGUUUAGCAAAGCAAAUCGUUCAAAUUGCAAAGUAACAAACAAACUUGUAUUUAUUUAAUGAUUGAUAUAUCAAUACACAAUUUAUCCGUAAAAUUUAUGCAUAAUAAAACAAGCAUGAAUUAAUGACAGUUGAUAGUUGACUGACAUCAUGUGUAUGGCGGAUGUGUUUCUAACAAUCAAUCGACAUUCAUAAUGCAUUGUUCAUUGAUUCGUACACGGAAUUUUCAGACAGAAGAAAAAGAAGUAAGCAUUAUCCUUCAACAACUUUAAUUUCCGCUAUAUAAAUAAUGUUUAUCUCGUAUAACUUAAGAUAAAUGAUACAAUCGAUGCAAUUAAUCUGCUUCAUAUCUUGACUUGAGCGUCUAUUGAAAACAAAACUUGGCGACAACAAAAUGAUGAUUUCAGCUUCCAUCAUGUGAACUUUUCAUUUCUAUGCAGCAACAGAGGGAUGGAAGAUACCAGAGGGACAUUCAAAUAGACAAACAACAGUACACAAAACACAACAUGGAAAAAAAGAGGAGCACGAACUCAAACAAAACUAGAAAAUUCCAGCAGCGCCUGCAUAUUGUGCAUAUAUCUCCCAGUUGAUACGAUAAUCCAGGGGUUUUGUAUCGCCUAUCAUGAUUUCCUAUGUUCACAAGGAAGCUAUUAUAAGCUUCAAAGAACGGUUAAGUAAAAGUUAUAUCUACGUAUCUAUAGACGCCAUCAACCACGGGCUGGUUGAUCGUUAUGGAAUAUCUGUUCAACAAAUGAAAACGGAUGAAAUGACUUUAAUCCAGUAUCCUUUCCUAUGAAUGUGUACUACCGAUUUAAAUGUAUAAACGGGUUUAAACUUGCCCGGGCAACACAACGGAUGACAUGUGUGGAGCCAUUUAUUCAAACCCUUCCUGUACACAUGGGACCACAUACAGUUUUUGGUGGGGUUUAUGUUGAUCAGUCUUUGGUUUUUAAUGUUGUGUUGUGUGUACUAGUGUAUGUCUGUUGACCCUUUUUUGCCAUUGAUUAGUCAUAUUAAUUUUCUAUCUAUCAGUUUAUUUUUCGCUUCUAUUUUGUUAGUAAUAAGAUCCAUUGCUUUGACCAUAUUGACAUUUUUGGGACUUGGACGAGAAACACUUUACGUACAUUUUUUUGGUACGGGUUUUUGUUUUUUAUCAAUAAAAAACAAUACUUGAUAUAUUUUGGUGUCCGAAGUGCUUUUCAUUAUUAACCUUACAAGGAACGUUCAAACCUUUGAAAUCUAUAGUUGCUGUACACCAAAAUUAAAACAAAAAGAAAAAGAGAAAAGGAUAUACAAAAAGGUUACACUAUCUACUAAGGAAGAACAUUUUUAUGUCGGCGGUACACAGAAGGGGAGGCCAUUGGACUAUAUACGCAACUAGCAAGAGUAUAGAGUGCUAAUGAUUAAAAUUAACAUUUCAUAAAUGUUAAGUGUUAUAGUAUAUAUGUCAACGAGUAAAACCAGUUUUCUUUUGCAGAAGAAAUUUGUAAAUAGUAUUCAGAUGUCUUAAAUGAUGAUAAAUGGCUAAACUAUAAUAUUAUGAAUAUUACGAAGAAAGAACAUUUGAAGUUUGUCUUUGUAAACAAUACCAAACUGCAGAAAGAGAGAAAAUUAAACUAAUAUCCGGUUGCAGAAGUCAGCAUGGCAUCAAACACAAACGACGAUUUAGAGCAAACUAUGAAAGUACUUGAGCUCAAAAAGAGCACAUGCGAAAAGAAAAAUGAAUUAGUCAAGACAGCUCAACAUAUAAGUGAACAUGAAACUCCUGUUGGUGAAGCAAUUUUUUAUGAACGGAAAACAGGUAAAAGCAUAAUAUAUACAUGAUAUAACAGAACAAAAUAUUAACUAGACAUAGACUGAAUAUCGGUUUAAAAAGAUAUAAGGUAUUCUUUUGAAGAUAACAUUAAGCAUUUGACCAUUAAACAAAUGCAUUUAAGAUAGGACCGAAGGAUACAACUGCCUUCAAAAACGGAAUAUUUUAUUAACAAUCUAAAGAUAUCACUAUCGAUUAAUAAAUUAGAAGAGAAUAUUUGAAGAACAAUUAUUUUUUGUCUUUGAAAAGCUUUCAUACGAAGAUAUUGCCCAUUCCAUUGAUCAUGAGAACUUUUAUUGACUAUGAAUAUUUCUAUUGUAGAAAGAAAGGAUUUGACAGAAAAGGAUGCUGAUACAAGCCUAAUCCGAAGGUAAUGUCUUAGCUUUCAGGAGAAAUUUUGAUUACCAAUUUAGAUUUUGUAGACACAAAAUAAAAAUUGUCUGUGUUGUUAAACACAUAAAUCACUUAUCAAUGUAUAUGUUACAGUAAAUAGGUGAUUAGGAAUACAGUAAUUACAACACUUCAGUAAAUACCUGAAUUACUAGCCAAUUUAGUAAUUACAUGUAUUUACUAGUUGUUUCAGUGAAUUACUGGUAAUCACUGAUUUUUUUGUCAUUUACAGCUAUUUUUAACUUGAUGUUUUUGUUUUAAAUUAAAAAACAUUAAUUCAAGAUACCAAAUAAGAAAGUAAAGGGUAGGGAUUUUAACGGCGCUAACUUAAGGAGUGGAAUAUUAAUGCACAUCCAAAGGCAUACUCUUUAGUGUUGUGAAUUGAAACUGGAAAAUGGUUGUUUUAUAGGUUUUGAAACUCCGUGAAAUAUAUGUAUGCAAGACAAUGAUAUCUAUCCAAAAUCAAACUAAAAUCUCCAUCAUGCACUGGGGUUCAAAACUUUAAAAAAAACUUUCUCCAAAUAUCCUGGAUUUUUCUACCAAACUUGGACAGAAGCAAAUGUUUAUGAUCAUAAAAUAAUAUCCAAAAGUAAAGUUUGAAAAAAAAAUCUUUUUUCGUAUACUUAUAAAUGGACUAGUUUGUCCCAGUUAACAUUUACACUCUGUAGUUAAAGUUUUUAAAACAUUAGAUUUUAAAACCAUCCUGGAUUUUUACCCAAUUUUGCUGAAGCUUCUUACAGUACUAGUCAACAGAUUAGUAUCUAGAGGAAAAUUUUAAUAUUUUUUCCUCAUUUUUGUUGAGCCUGCGAUUAACAGCAAAAGUAACCGAGACUAUUUGUUCUGCAAAAACCCUUACAAUUUUAAUAGCUUAAUACAUCGAUAACCCAUCUCCAGCUAGGGUUGAUUUGAAGGUCACAUGAAUACGUAUUCAAUGAGGUCCAAAUAUUCACUCAAUGCACAACUCAUCAACCUUGUUUCUCAGCUAAUUUAACAAAAUAAAACCAGAAUGGCCUAACAGUGAAUUAUAAUUUACAAUAUCAUUUUAUAAAUGAUUUAAAACAAAAAAAAGAUAUUUUUUUUAUAUAUCUCGAAGCUAAUCACAUAACAGUUCAUUCCAGUUCUUAACCUACAUAACGUUAUCUUAUCUUUAUAAGGUAAUAAGUCUAAAUAUUCUUCAAAUUCAAAGAGUUCUUUAAAAAGUUAAGACAUAAUGCUUUGGGAGAAUUGUCCAUUUCUGAUUUCAUGUCUGCUGAAUUGUCAAAAUUAUCUGUAUUAUAAUGCUCAACUUAAACCAUUUUGAUUAAAACUAAAGUUACUCUGAUUUAACCAAAUAUUUGAAAGUCCAUAUUUAUUCGAUAUUUUUUAUACAUAUCAACAUUCAAAAUUUAAGAGUACUAACUGAUCUUUAGUUAGUAUACACAGCUAAACAAUGUUGUAUUAUGGUCAGGUGAUCAAAAGUUAUGGUUUGUUAGCAGUCAGUAAAUAGGUGUAAAUAUUUAUUUAAAUUAGUAAUUACUGGUAAGAACUGGCCGUUUAAGGAAUACUUGUAUUAACUAGUGCAUCGGGAAUUACCUGUAAUUCCUAAAUUUUAGUAAUUACAUGUAAUUCCUAAUUUCACCUAUUUACUGUAACAUAUAUAUGUGAAUUAGUUUAUAUAUACUACCCUUAUCAGGUUGUUUGUUUACAUGACUUGAGGCAGUAAAAUAUGUCAAUUAUUAGAUACAAAUAUAUUUGUGUUGCUUAAAAGUUGCAAUACUCUUGUUUUAAGAAAGCAAUGUUUCUGACAAAUUCUUUACUUUAUUAAAUGGGUCUUAUUACAAAAUACCUUCAAAUACAAUUUGUAGGAGUUGUCCAGAUGAACAAAUCAAAAGACUCCGUGUGAUGUUUGAGUCAGUAGAAGAUAUGCUGAGUUCACCGGAUUAUGAUGAAGACCUAAAAAGUGAAUUGUCUGCAGCACUUCCAAACUUCAAAAAUGAUUUACAAACAGCCAAAAGAGAUUUAUUGAGAAAUGAUUGUGGAAUCGUCGUGGCAGGUUGGUCAAGAUAUCAAUAAACACACUCUGUUUCUUUAACAAAAAUAAAUGUUAGUACUUUAUAUAUGUAAAGUUAAAUAAUCUGUCAGUAUCGUUCUUUGUAAAUAAUUUGAAUAAUUGAUAACUGAACAAACCCUUGAUUAAAUUACAAAAGAAAUCAUUCGAAAUAUUAAAAAUAAAAAUCUGUAGGCAAUAUAACAUGUACAAUUAAAUAAAUAUGUAUGUAAACGCCGUCUAACUGAAAUAGGAAUAGCAUUUUAAGUGUAUCUAAACAAAUAAAGGUAGAUCAGAGUACAGUAUGUUCACUGUGAAUCCUUCAAAACCAACAAGACUUGGAACUUAAGCUGGCAAAACAGUAUUUUGAUUUAUAAACACUGUCAUUACGCUUUAUAGAGGCAUCAUGUAUGGUAAGAAUUGGGAAUCAACAGAGGUAAUUUGAUCACUGUAGCGUUUGGAUGCAUAUGUAGCAUAACAGCAAUAACUGAUCAUCCAGUAAACUUUUUCCAUCUUUUAUACGUCUGUUACUAUUAUCGAAGACGGCUAAUAUGACAACCAAUGCAAUCUGUCCCGUAUUUCUAGGUCAUAUGUGUCUACCAUGUGUAAACAAUUGUCGCUUAUAACGUUAAAUGUCUAAUCGAAAAAGACCAAAUCACUUUCUUUAAUGCGGGGUUCACACAUUGCCGAUUAUUGUUCCCGUUUUAUGAUGAUGGAAGUGUUUAACGACCUUGAUUGGCUUUUCAGCCUUCGCACGAUCGGCUCGGUGCCGGAAGGCAUUUUGUGAGCUUUAUCAUAUUUGUAUGUGUAGGGUCAGGAACAGGUAAGGACGCCAUAUGUAGGCCGCCAUCUUGGUUUUGGUGAGUUGUUUUUCUUUUGUUGUCUAUUUUGAUGUUUCUUUUACUUCACAACGGCUGCUUUCAGGGCCAAAUUGGUCAGCUUGGCAGCCCACUUACCUCAAUGAAGGAGUACUGGUAGAUGAGUCUCGGACGUAGUAUUAAAUAAACUCAUCAUAGAUACCAGGACUAAAUUUUGUAUAUACCCCAGACGCGCGUUUCGUCUACAAAAGACUCAUCAGUGACGCUCGACUCAAAAAAAGUUAAAAAGGCCAAAUAAAGUACGAGGUUGAAGAGCAUUACAGGAGGCAUUAUCAGGACCAAAUCUGCGAGGCAGUGAAAUGAAUGUCCAUCAUCUAACGCCUAGGAUACAGUCCUCGUACGUCAAUCGGCAUGAUACUCCCCCAUCUAAAAUGGGUUUUGGAGUGCAUGUUAACGCGGGAAUACGCCAACUACAACGUUUACUGUACAGCGUUGGAUUGGUUUCUGUCAUCUAAAGUAGUAAGUCGUUGAUCAUCUAAAAGUAAAACCUCAUCGAAAAAAAAGUCGGAUUACUAUCCUCAAUUAUCUGGAAUUUCCUAUCAUUGUCUGAACGCAGUCCUUUAAGUUCUUCACAGAUUUCUACGGGUCGGGAAUGGUCCGGAUAGUUCGGCGAAGCACCUCAACAGUUAGGUACGUCCCGUAACAUUCGGGGAAACUCAGCCGAUUUCGUCUAGUCGGAUUAAAAGCGUGACUGUGUCGUGACAGAUUUUCUUGUAUCGGGUCAAAAUCCUUAUAAUGUUCUGUAUAUUCUUGACGACGUCCUGUUGAACAAGAAUGAUCUGGAGAAAUUUUUCAUUGCUUUUUUUCUGCCGAUUGAGACCAGAUUGAAUACAGAUCUCGUCGAUUGCGAACCGAUUUUGCCGAAACCGUUCCGGAACAGUCCCGUUAUUAAUACGAAAUACAAUACGACUGAGACCAGACAAAGCCGUUUGCAAUGCGAUAGAGCGGACCGUAAUAGGAUUGCGUUCCGACAGUACCCUAUCAUCCCGAAUAUGCCGAAUGUUUUCAAAUGGAUAACUCCCAUCAGCGUCAGUUCCCUGUCUGGUCACUGUCUGAUCUCUGUCGGAUUAUAUUCGGAAGAAUCGGGAUGCAGUCGUGACAAACUCGGUCGAAUUUUACCAUGCUAAAGAUACAAAUCGGAUUAGGAGAGGAUUGAGAACGGGAUUAUCGGGACUAACUCGCUUGGAAACGGUUGAAUAUCGACGCUUCCUGGACAAUAUCUGAUUCUUGUCGUGCUUAAAUAUUUUUUAUUGCCUAAAUGUUCUUAGAAUGACCAUGAAAAAACACAUUUUUGUGCAUAACAAAAAAUCUAUGAGAUAGAAAUUUGAAAUACAUAUUGCGAGUAUAUAGGUUAAAAAUAUGCUUUAAGAAAAUAAUAAGAAACAAGAAUAUGUCCGGAGUACACGGAUGCCCCACUCGCAUUAUCAUUUUCCAUACUCAAUGGACCGUGAAAUUGGGUAAAAAAUCUAAUUUGGCCUUAAAAGUAAAAAGAUCAACUAAUAGGGAACAAAUGUACUAAGUUUCAAGUUGAUUGGACUUUAACUUCAUCAAAAACUACCUUGACCAAAAACUUUAACCUGAAACUCACAUUUUUAAUUUCUAUGUUCAGUGGACCAUGAAAAUUGAUUCAAAAGUCUAAUUUGGUUUUAAAAUAAGAAAGAUCAUAUCAUAAGGAACAUGUGUACUAAGUUUUAAGUUGAUUGGACUUCAGCUUCAUCAAAAACUACCUUGACCAAAAACUUUAACCUGCAGUUGGACGAACGGACGGACAGACAAACGAACGGACGAACGAACAGACGAAAGUACAAACGGAAUGACGCACAGACCAGAAAACAUAAUGCCCCUCUACUAUCGUACGUAGGGCAUAAAAAUGGUGUCACCGAACUUGUAUUCUUGCGACAAGUAAAAUUUGAAAAUUUCCCUAUCAGUCCAGUAAAAAUAUGCACUAAAAGAGUUAUCUCCCCUUGAAGGACUGAGUUGAAAAAAAUUAUUAUUUAGCAUAAAUGUUUGGUGUUUGUUUAAAUAUUUUGAAUAAUACAAAACAUCUGCAAGUUUUCAUCCUAUAAAUAAACAUUCUAACCAUUAAUAUAGCACAUCUGCCUAAAAAUAGCAGAAUUGGGCAAAUAACUAGACAUAUCGUGAACUACGAUAGCACAAUCCGAGAUGGCGUUAUACCAGGAAUCGCUUUUAACUUCGAUCUUGUUUAGAUAAAAACACAUUGAUAGUAUUGGUAUUUUUUUGAACUGUUAGAUUUCCAGUGAAGAUAUAUAUUGCAGUUUUAAAACAAAUUGCAUUUUUUUUUAUAUCCUUUCGUGGUUUCCUUGAUAAGGUGUUCCUGACAACAAUGGGGUCUAUUAUUAGUAACUGAGAGUUUCAAGUGGGGAAGAUAAUUCAUCUUUUCGUGAGUUUUACGGACGCCAUAAUUAUAAUGUUAGCUGUUAUGGAAUAUCAAUUUCACAGAUGAUAACGGUAAUGUUCCUAGUGUCGUAACUAUAGUCCGUCCUGAAUAUGACAUACUGCAUAACACCGGGUUUGUUCUAAUAUGAGCAAUACGAUGGGUGUAAGUAGGAGAAGUAUCUGCUUUACCGAGAGGGAACACCUUUUUCGUAAACUAAAAUUUACCUUUUUAAUAAAUGUUGGCUAAACUCAGCUCUAGGUGCAAGACUACAUGCAUUCAUUCUAGCUCAAAGAAAGUAUUUACAAAAUGUCAAGUGUAAUUGUUUUUAACUACAUGCAUUCAUUCUAGCUCAAAGAAAGUAUUUACAAAAUGUCAAGUGUAAUAGUUUUUAACUACAUGCAUUCAUUCUAGCUCAAAGAAAGUAUUUACAAAAUGUCAAGUGUAUUGUUUUUAAUAACGUAAUUAAUGUAAGGGUCGUCAACUAAUUUGGCCCAUCCUGUUUUCCCCGCAUACACUUUUCAAUAGUUUUUUGCACAAUGAUUUCUUGUGACAUAUGUAUUAUUAUAAUAGGUUCUGGGUCACACUUCAAUUCAAUUUGAAAAGUAAAUUCCAAGUAUAUUGGAUUGAUUAAUGUAAUUAUUUGGUUUAAUGAGGACUAUCAUUCAAAAAUACAUCAGUGUUUUCAGUUCUGAACAUUUAUUUUUGAAUUGCGCAUCUGAUUUGCAGAUAAUUAGUUACGUGAAUAUUGUCUAUUUUGAUCAACAUGAAAUUAUUAGUGUUCAUUUUAUGUGUUAUGUAAGCUGAAUAUGAGCACCGCCUUCUUAUAUGCAUGUUGAUUUGCCAUUUCUUGUAAUAUACAAUAUUAAUAACAGCAAAUCCUGCAGAAUAGUCUAGCCUCUGGUCAAACAUUGUGUUCUCAUUCAAAAUUAUUUAGAUACGGUGACAAACAUAUUUAAUAUUUAUUUUAGGGGAGACAAGUGCUGGAAAAACCACUUUAAUAAACCAACUUGUCAAUAAGAAGGUUUUCGCAACGAAUAAUUUAGCGGCAACUGGGAGGAUAACCAGGAUUCGGAAUUCUGAAAGCAUGAAAAUUAAAUGUUAUUCAAAAGAUGAAGAAUUGUUGAUAGAGGAAGAUGUACAAGAUGAAAAAAAACUGAAGUCUUCCAUCAAAAGACUUACUAAAAUCAGAGAUGACUUAAAGGACAUACACUUUGUAGACGUUUACUUACCAGUGUCUAUUUUGAAGGUAACAUCAAACAUAAAAUGUGUAAAAGUCCACAUAGAGUAUUGCAAGUUCUGAAAGGCAUUUGAUUUUUAUAAGUUUAUAAAACAAAUUAAAACAAAACUGCUGUUGAUCAUAAGUAUACAUGAAGAUUUAGGUACCCUACUUACUAUUAUUAAAUUUUUAAUGGAAGUGUUUUCAAAUGAGUUUUUCAACCCCGAGGUAAGAUUUCUGAAACAAAGACAUUUUGUUUUUUUAUCUAUGUCAUUCUUGACAAGAACUCAUUUAAUGCAGGGUUAACACAAUGCCGAUUAUUGCUCCCGUUUGAGAUCAGACAGCGAUACGACACGAAAGGUUAAAAAGUAGGAUUACUAUCCCCAAUUAUCUGGAAUGUCCUAUCAUUGUCUGAACGCAGUCGUUUGAGUUCGUAAUAGAUUCCUACGGGUCGGGGAGGGUUUGUAUAGUUCGGCGAAGCACCCCAACAGUUAGGUGUGUCCUGUAACAUUCGAGGAAACUCAGACGAUUUUGUCUAGUCGUAUUACAAUCGUGCUUAUGUCGUGACAUAUUCUGCUGUAUCGGAUCAAAAUCCUAACAAUAUUCUGUGUAUUAUGGACGGUGUCUUGUGGAACGGGAAUGAUCUUGAUAAAUAUUCCAUUGCUGUUUUUCUGUCGAUUGCGUGCAGAGUGCAUCCAGAUCUUGUCGAUGCGAACCGUUUUUGCCAAAACCGUUCCGGAACAGUCCUGUUAUUAAUACGAAAUUCGUCAAUGAUCCCCAACUCAGAGUCCCGACAAUUACAAAAUACAUUACGACUGAGACCAGACAAAGCCGUUUGCAAUGCAAUAGAGCGGACCGAAAUAGGAUUACGUUCCGAUAGUAACUGAUCAUCGUCGGUUCACUGUCUGGUUACUGUCUGGUCACUGUCUGGUCACUGUCUGAUCUUUGUUCGAUUACAUUCGGUAGAAUCGGGACGCAGUCGUGACAGACUCGGUCGAAAUUUACCAGGCGAAAGAUACAAAUUUGAUUAGAAGCGGAUUGAGAAUGGGAUUCUCGGGAUAAAUUCGCUUAGAAACAGUUGAAUAUCGACGCUUCCUGUACAAUAUCUGAUUGUUGUCGUGAUUAAAUUAUUGGUUUUACAAAUUUUAAUUAAAGUUUGAAUUUCCAUCUACGAUUCACAGGAUCAUUUUAAUCGGGAAUGUUCCUGUCAACGACGGCAGUAAAAUUCGUGAAUGUGUGGCCCCAGCUUAAAGUAGUCACUCUGUGAUGACACCAGGUCAAACAAUUCGUGUCUGUCACCAAGGACAUAUGGUGUUCACGCAAUGAUAACAGUUAGAAAUAUAACUUUUGUACGGAUGUCAAUCAAUAUAAGUAUCACAGGAAACUUGAAUUUCAGCUUUUCAAAUAAAACAAAUAGUUAUACACUCUUCCUUUUGUAUCUAUGUGAAAACCCGCAAUAUUGUCCCGAAUAUUUAUUUUUUGCUGCAAUUUUCUAAAAUGUUAUAUCCUGUAGGGACCUUGCGAUAUUUAUAAAGACUAUAAGCAGACAUAAAAAAAAUGUAUUCUGAAGUUGAAAAGAGUAUAAUUUUGUAAGUAUCUCAGUGCAUAAUUUAAUAGAAAAUCAAGAGAUACCUUAUUUUAAGAAAAUUUCGCAAAAGUGCAAAGAUCCUUGCAAUCUCUGGCAUGUAAAUCUAUAACUAUGUUUAGUUUUAUAUAAAUAGUUUGGAAUUAAAUCGGCGACAGUGUGCUUAAUCAGCUUGGUUCAGCAACAAAAACACCACGCCUUAGCUUUUACAUAAGAUGUUAUUCACUGUUCGAACCAUGAUGACACUUGAAAACUUUCAAUUUCUUGGCGUGUCCUUGUUUAAAAAGUUGACAUUGACGACGAAAGACACUAUCCGUUGUUUUCAUUUAAGGUGGUACCCAACAUUAUACCCCCCAAAACAAAACGUGAUUUAUUUUUGGCUUGUUAGAUCAAUCAAGAUACGAGCUGUUAAAAUUAACAGAACGAGACGCCUAAAAUACAAAGGAUACAUUGGGUAGUUCUUAAAAAUCGGCAGAUAUUAAAAUGAACAAGUAUUGUUAUGCGUUUACUUUUCUACAUUGGCUAGAGAUAUAGGGGAGGGUUGAGAGCUCAUAAACAUGUUUAACCCCGCCGCAGCCUGUCCCAAGUCAGGAGCCUCUGGCCUUUGUUAGUCGUGUAUUAUUUUAAUUUUAGUUUCUUGUGUACAAUUUGGAAAUUAGUAUGGCGUUCAUUAUCACUGAACUACUAUAUAUUUGUUUAGGGGCCAGCUGAAGGACGCCUUCGGGUGCGGGAAUUUCUCUCUACAUUUAAGACCUGUUGGUGACCUUCUGCUGUUUUUUUUUCUAUGGUCGGGUUGUUGUCUCAUUGACACAUUCCCCAUUUCAAUUCUCAAUUUUAUUUUUAAGAUUUUCAUUUUGUUGGUCGACAGAUUUAAUCAAACAAGAUAAACAAUUUAAGAAAUGAAGGAUGAAUCCCUUGGUGCAAAAAAAAAAACAAAACACGACUCCUGAACAAGGAGAUAAGAUGGAACUUAACGUGCAAUAUCCUUAGGAAUAAUCAAGUUCGUUAAAUAUAUAAUGUGAUAGUAUUUUUGCGGACAAUAAGUUACAACUGGUUUUUAGUUUAAAGCAAAGGAGUUCCAAAAAUGCUAUAAAAUGUGUGUCUUAAUAGAGGGACGAAAGAUACCAGAUGGACAUUCAAACUCAUAGAUAGAAAAUAAACUGACAAUACCAUGGCUAAAAAAUAAAAAAAGACAAACAGACAAAUAUUAGUACACAAGACACAACAUAGAAAACUAAAGACUAGGCAACACUAACCCAACCAAAAACUGAGAGUGAUCUUAGUGGUCAGCAAGGGUAAGCAGAUCCUGCUCCACAUAUGGCACACGUCGUGUUGCCUAACUUAUUUCACUUUCAUUCCACGGAAUAUCAAACUGCAGCUAUAAGUAUCACAUUAUUUGUUUUUGGCCCACUAUAAACUCUAUAGUAAAAAUCAUUAAUUUAAAAGAUUUGAAAUGAAAGUUUUGUUUAUGACGUCCUUAGCCUUAAUCCGUUUGAUGUGUAACAUCGAUCGAUAUGUAUUCUUAGAUACACGAUCUUUAUUAGUUGUGAUUGGCUUUGUACGGUGACCUAUAGUUGUUAAUGUGGGUUUCAUUUGGGGUCUUAGCGUGACGCGGGAUUGCCGAUUUGUUGUAAGCGUAACAUGUGAAAGUCAAAUUAUUGUGGCAAGAAAACGGGAAAUGAGGUCUUGCGGGACCCGGGAAAUGACAAAAAGAUGAGAAUUGCUUACGUACAUAGUGGGAAUCUGACAAAACAGUAAGCGGGAUCCGGGAUCGGAACCCCCCAAUGAGACCCCUGUUAAUGUCUGUGUCAUUUUGGUCUCUUGUGUAGUCUCAUUGGCAAUCAUACCACAUCUUCUUUUUCUAUAUUUGAACUAGCUGUCAGUAACUUUAAGUUCUCUCAGAGUAUUUUUUUGUACAAAGUGGCUUGGAUGUACAAGUACCCGGACAUAUACAUAAAAAUGCGAAUGGAAAUGGGGAAUGUGUCAAAGAGACAACAGCAGAAGGUCACCAACAGGUCUUCAAUGCAGCGUGAAAUUCCUACACCCAGAGGCGUCCUUCAGCUGGCCCCUAAAGAAAUAUAUAUACUAGUUCAGUGAUAAUGAACGCCAUGAUAAACACCAAAUCGUACACAAGAAACAAAAAUUAAAAAUAAUACAAGACUAACAAAGGCCAUGUUUAUGAGAUCUCAACCCUCCCCGAUACCUCUAGCCAAUGUGGAAAAGUAAACGCAUAACAAUACGGACAUUACAAUUCAGUUCAAGAAAAGUCCAAGUCUGAUGUCAGAAGAUGUAACCAAUGAAAAUUACAGUCUUUGUUUUGUUAUAUGUAUUUCCAUUUGUAUCCAUCUGUUGAAAUGAGCCUUUUUUAACUGAUUUUGUAUAGUUCGUUUUUAUGUUGGACUGUUACAACACUUAGAGUGGUUGGGAUCCCGCUAACAUGUUUAACCCCGCCAUGUUCUGUAUGUACGUGCCUGUUCCAUACCAGGAGCCUGUAAUUCAGUAGUUGUCGUUUGUUGUUGUGUAACAUAUUAACUUUUUGCUUAUUUGUUUCAUCUUCAUUAACUAUUCCUUUUGGUUUUCUCGUUUGCAUUAUUUUACAUUUCAAAUUUCGGGGCCUUAUACAACUCACAAUGCGGUAUGGGCUUUGCGAAUUGUCGAAGGCAAAACAGGGACCUAUAUCUGUUAACUUCUGUGUCAUUUUGGUCUCUUGUGGAAUGUUGUAUCGUUUAAAAGUAUACCACAUCUUCUUUUAUUAUGUUUACUUUAAAACUAAAUUCACAUUUUCAUUGCCAAUUUUACUAUUUUGGAAAGAUACACAAAUGCACAACAAAAGAAAAAAAAUGCUUUUUUUUUCGAAAUUAGAAUAUGAUAAAGCUAAACUUACAUGUACUAUUUUAAGCAUACAUGCAUAGUUUAAGUUUCAACCUUGGAUCACAAUUUAGAAUUAACUUCCCUUAAAAAAUGCGGACGGAUUAGAAGACACCUGUUUAUUUUCUACACCUGUCAGUAUAAAGGACGAAAACAGAGAGUUAAAUUAUAUAGUGCAAUGUUUCGUGGACUGAAUCUUAUGUUUUUUUGUCUGUUGGCGUCUCUGAUUUUCAACUAGUCAAUAAUGCAUUAGUAGUUGAUUAUCGCCUUGCUAUUUUUUCCCUUUUUAUAUGACACAUAAAUCACGUCCUAAAAUUUUAAUUUGCAAAAAAAACCAACAAAAAACACGUGUAUGCAACACACAAAUACAUAGCAUUACACAAUAAAGUGAAUUUCAUUCAAAACUGCGGCUUUAAAAAUAAGUAUCGUGGAUUCAAUUCUGGAUGAUUUUAAUCAAUUUGGUACGAAUAGAAGCAUAAUUGUCCCUGGUUUAUUCAUUUAUUUUGUUGGGAGUUUUCCUUUUUAGACUUUAUUACUAUGUAUGUAUACAGUAUAUCAUAUGUAGGGCCUAGUUCAAAAACGAAAGCAGUUUAGGUUAUUUCUGUUUCCCUUCAUUUGCAACUUUAAACUAGAUCUGACCCCCUUGUUUACUUUUUCUUAUUUCUUUAACUUAAAAAUUUCCUUUUUUUUGUUUCUUUGAAGAUUCAUUAAUUGGAUUUUUGUAACUAUAAAUAGAUUGAAUAAAUAACAAUAAGUGUACAUCUGCUCAAAGCAACAACAUUAACAGUCUGGUCAGGAUUUUUAAUUUUUUGCAUAUUGCAUGUGAUUUUGAAACGCAGAAACCAAAAAGGCCAUGCGUUAGAUUUAUUUUUGGUUUAUUAAGUGUACCGUUUGAAUGGUUUUACACUAGUUAUUUUGGGGCCUUUAUAGCUUGUUGUUCGGUGUGAGCCAAGCUCCGUUGUUGAAGGCCGUACUUUAACCUAUAAUGGUUUAAUUUUUGAAUUGUUGUUUGGAUGGAGAGUUGUCUCAUUGGCACUCACACCACAUCUUCCUAUAUCUACUCCUUAAUCAGGUAGUAUAAAUAUUAAGGUAUAGUACAAUAUUGUAAUAUAGGUACAUGAUUAGGAUGAAUUCCCUUUGUUUAUAUAACUAGUUUGAGGCAAUGCGUAGGAUAUUCUGAACAAUUGAAAUUACAGAACUAAAUGGAAAGUAUUAUGGAAUAUUAAGACUGGUUUAUUCACGCAAGCAUGUUCUAAUUUACUCUAAUGUAAUCCUCCAAAGAAGGUAAAAAAAUAAUAAUAUUAUUUUAAAUCCAAACAAAAUAGGUUAUACAAGCAAAGUUUAAUUCAUAUAUUAAAUAAAUAAAUGAUGCAUUUUUUUUAAACAAAAGUAAAAAAAUCACCAGCACCCAUAUCCAGAUAUAAACGCCACUUUGCUUAUUUGAAUAUUAUACUAAAAAUCGGAUACGGGUAACGUAAAUUAUAUUGAAAUGAUAGUGAAUUUUGAAAAAAAAAUGUCUGUUUUAACUUUAAUUCAAGUGAUAGACAGGUUGCCGGGACAGAAAAUAAAUAUACACAACAAUAUAGACCUUUUAAACUAAACGAUACAUAAUGACUGUCGUUGCAAAAAUCAAGGUUCCUGAUCUAUUUUUAAAAUCGAAGCGAGAGGCUUUUAACAUUGCAGUAUAAACUAUGGGCUCUAAAAGGCUGAAACGUAACAUUCGCAUACUACGUGUUGAAAAUUGGUUAACAAGGUCAUUACAAAAACAGGUUGCCUGGAUGAAACUUGAAACUUGAAACUUGAAUGUCUAAGGAAUAAGUAAGUCCAAACCUUGUAUGUGUAGUCGUUGAACUCUAGGUUCUAAAGUUAAAAUGCACAUAUUUCAAGAAGAAUAAACCCACGAAAACACGAAUAAUUCACUAAAUUCGCGCCCAUUGUUUUGAUUUUGACCGCCUAACAACUUUACGGAAAUAUCAGAGUGAUUAUAAACAAGGACUCUGUGAGGGCAUUAUAAUAUUGUUUUAAAGAUUUUAAUGAUAUCAAGCCAGUCUAGUUCAAACUAUUAUCACGUGUUACAAUUCUCAUUUACAUAUUAUGAAUAUUAAUUAGCAAAAGUACUACUAAUUUCUGGCUAUGAGAUGUAAUGACCCUAAGAAAAUUACUCGUAUUAAAAAUUACAUCAUUAAUGAUCUCAUUUGUACAAUUCAUGCAAUGUUUCAAUAAAGCUUCUAUUGUAGGUUUAUAUCAAAACUGUCUUGGACGACUUCCGAAAAUAAUAGCCGAUCAUUACUUUUCAAAGUUGUUAUGGCCCUUAAAAAUACUAAUGAUAUAAAUAGUUGCUUGUUUUCCCUCUCAUGUGACAUGUGUUAAGUAGAUCUUCCCAGGUAUUGAUAAAUUUACAUUGUAGAUUUAUAUAUAUAUAUAUGUAUGUAAAUGUAAUACGUAUAAACAUGAGCCCAACAAUGUUAGAUCUGUUAAUUUGCUUUUGAAAAUUUUUUGUUCUUCCCUCGCCAGGAUUCGAACUCAUGCUACUGAGAUAUCGUGACAUUUAAUCUCCUUGCUCUGUAUCCAACACGUUAGACCACUCGGCCACCUAAGCUGCACGAAAAUAAACCUGUCAAUAAUACUAAAAAUAUAAGACUAAAUAAUUCAAAAUUUGGUGACUAUAUGUUGAAAGUAUCUAUCCCAUCAAAGGAAGAGAUAAGGAUACAACGGAUACAGUUCAGUCGGCCUCAUAUCUUGACUUACAUCUAGAAAUUGACAAUGAGGGACGGUUGAAAACAAAAGAGAUGAUUUCAGCUUUCCAAUCGUGAACCGUCUAUUUCUAAGUAGUAACAUUCCGGCAGCACCUGCAUACGGGGUGUAUAUCUCCCAAUUGAUACGAUAUUCUCGUGCUUGUAUUUCCUAUCAUUAUUUUCUUGAAAGUGGGUUAGUGCUCACAAGGAAGCUAUUAAACCAAGAGUUCAAAAGUGUGAAGUCGAAAUUAUCCCUUCAUUAAUUUUACGGACGCCAUCACGAGUUGGUUGACCGUAAUGGAAUAACCGUUUCCUAUAUGAUAUCGUAUAUGUUCCAUAUGUUGUAACUACAAUUCCCUUUCCUUUCAUGAACGUGACCCACAAAAUUAGACUAUUUACCGGAUUUGUUAUAAUACGAGCAACACGACGGAUACUACACGUGAAGCAUGAUCUGCUUACCCUUCCUGAGUAGCUGAGCUCACUCCUAGUUUUUUGUUAGGUUCCUGUUGCUUGUUCUUUAGUUUUCUAUAUUGUGGCAUGUGUACUAUUGUUUGUCUGUUUGUCUUUUUCAUUUUUAGCCAUGGCGUUGUCAGUUUAUUUUCGAUUUAUGAGAUUGACUGUCCCUCUGGUACCUUUUGUCCCUCUUUUUGAAUUAUCUAUUGUAAAAGAUCCUACAAAUUAAUACAAGAUACGUAUACAUUCACAGAAUUAAUUAUAUUCAUAAGUACGUCUGAACCAGAUAAUUACAACAGAGACUGCAAAUAUAUGUUUCAAAUAAAAUAAUAAUGUGCGAUAUGAACUAGCACGAUUCUAAAAUUUGAACGCUGACUGCAUUUAUGAUGUUACAAGAACGGUUGCGUCAAUAAAAAUUGCAAAUCUUAGUUUGUAAAUAUUUCAAAUUUGACAAUGGUUAAGUAGUUACUACAGAGGCUGCGUAUUCAAACAUCUCAUACAAAGAGCAGUUAACAUAUAAUAAAUUUUGACUAAGAUUAAAUAGUUGAACGUGGCUUGGUACUUUUACAUCUCUAAAAUAAUGAAUGAAACCAAGCAAUUCAAAUUGGCAUAUUCAUAUACAUUAGCAAUGUAUUGCACGAGUUCGAUAAGUGGCGAUCAAUUAACUAGUUUUAAAGAGUGAUACUCCUUAGAAAUAUUAAAUAUUCUGAAAGAUACGUUGUAAGUUCUUUCACAUGUACAAAUAUCAAAGGUUUAAGUAGCAAUGUCACGAAAAAUUUGUAAAAUAAUUGCCUAUACAAUAUUUUUAAAGAUUUGUACACUUCGGAAAUAUUGAAUGUAUCAGAAAUUGGUUUCAUUUCUUCAACACUAUAAAAUGAUUUUAAAAAGUUUAAAAUAACAAAACAAAGACAUUUUUAGUAGUUAUUGGCAUUUGACAGAUAAAUAUAUAUAUAUACAAAGCAGGGGACAUCGGAACUCUGUUUUUAUUGUUAAUUGGAAUAUAGGAUUAGAAAAUGCAAAUACCCAUAAAAAUCAUGCUGUUGGCUAGGGUCAAAUGUCAAACAAGAUAAUGACAAUUCGUGUCUUAUUAUACGUGUUAAUUUCAACCACAUACAAUUUUGUAAAUAACAUAUGAUUUAUUUGUAUCUAUUUCAUUUAAAAAUUCCCAAUAAAAAUCCUACUUCUGUUGCGAGACUAAGUGCCACGGUGAAGUAAGGAUCUUCUCCUAAACAUGCAUUAACCACCAUUUGAAUUAAUACUUAAUCAAUAUUUCACAAGAGGAGUAGAAUAUAUAAGACGGAGGACUUUUUUGUGAAAUCAAAAUAAUUUUAAUUUAUUUAACGAUUUCUAUAGUUCAAACGACUCAAUUGUAACACCCUUUGUUUUAUUAUUUAAGCAAAACAAACCACGUAUCAGGUAUACAUUUAAAUGAUCCAUGUUAACAUUAAAAUGCAAUCAAUGAGACUUGAAAAAUUAAAAUCCAAUCGAAUAAACUAAUUCAUUUUACAAUACAGCAUUUUUAACCAUAAAGCCAGGAUAUCGAGGCAAAUCAGAAUGAAUAUAUUGUUUAAUGUAUCAUUCUAUUAUCAAAGAAAAGUAAUCAGCCAAUAUUGAAUAACAUGAGUACAGCAUCUUAUCAUUACAACUUGGUAAAGCAUUAUUCGGUAUGUAAUAAAGCUUGUUUUUUUCUAGAUUCCACAAGACUGACUAUUUUAUGGAAUAUCAAGUUAUUUCAAUUAAACCAAACGACUCUUAGUUUUACAAAACAGUAUACAAUUCAGCUUAUUGUUGUUAGCAUUAACUAAUUAUAUUACAGGUGAUAUGUGUUUGUGUUUUUACCCUUUUAAGUUUAUAGACACCUCUGCCAAUGUCGAAUGAUAGAACUUGCAUAAAAAUAGACAUGGCACUGCUUUCGAUUAUUAAGUUUAGCUAACAGUUAUUUUCCUUUGUUUAAUUUAUUUGUAGGGCAACGUAAUCAUUGUAGACACACCUGGUAUAGGAGAUACGGAAAUGAUCAACAAUAUACUUCUCGAGUUUCUCCCAAAUGCAGUGGCGUUUGUAUUUGUAGUAAAUGCUAAACAUGCUGGUGGUUUGCACGAAACAAGGGUUAGUAGUGUCCUUUCAAAUAUAACCAUUGUUUGUAAUUGAAAUUUUCAUUGUUAUUAAUAAAUGUAUAUCAACAUUACAAACCUUAUCUUGAAUUCUAUCCUAUUUUUUGAGAAAUUUUUAGAAAUUCGAAUGUGAUGUCACUUAAAUUUGUGCUAACUCGGCUGUGAAUUUUUAUAUCCUGGUUUAGCUUAUUUAUCUAUCCGUUUUUAUUUUGUAGUUAGUCACCUGUUUUAUCAUUUAUAUCUAUUAUAUACCAGUAGUCAUUUUAUAAGAAAAUACUGUUAGCAAAAGUAUUAAUUAUUCUAAAUGAUCAGGAUGUUCUUAUCCCUUACAGAAAACCCUAGCCGCAUUUGGCACAACUUUUGGGAAAUUUUAGUCCUCAUUGCUCUUGAACAUUGUACUUUUUUUGGCUUUCGAACUUAUUCAAUCAGAGCGUCAGUAGUUGGUUUUGUGUGGACGAAACGCACGUCUAGCGUAUCAAAUUUUAAACCUGGCACCUUUUGUUAGCUAUUAUUCUGUGUUUCUCUGUCCUAUAUGUUCUCCUAUAUAUUUGUAUUGUAGUCCUAUCAUUGUAAUGUUGUCAUUUUAAUGUUAUAUUUAACAUUGCCAUAAAAGCGGAAGGUUUGGCAUGCCACACAUCCAGGUUCAACCCACAAUUAUUUUAAUUUAUUAUAUCCAGUACCAAGUCAGGAAAAUGGCCAUUGUUAUAUUAUAGUUCUUUUCUGUGUGUGUUACAUUUUAAUGUCGUGUUUCCGCUGUGUCGUAGUUCUGCUCUUAUAAUCCUGGUACCUUUGAUAAAUAUUUCCCUCAGUUUAAGUUUGUAACUCGAUUUUUUUUCUCAAUCGAUUUAAGAAUUUUAGAACAGUGAUAUACUACUGUUACCUUUAUUUGUCCUCAGCUGAGUCAAAGUUGAUGAUUUUUUUUACCUUAAUCUAUCUUGAUUGAUGUUUGCAGCUGCACGCCUGUUAUUGAUUGUGUAAUGCGAUCAGAUUUUAAAUAUUUUUUUGGAGAUAUAUUCAGUACUGUUUAGACAAUUCAAUUGCAGUUCAAUCUGUGUUUAGAUUUUUCAUGAGUUGGUAUCUAACUGUACAAAACCAAACAGAACUGUAUGACUAAAUUCUGAAUUGUGAUAAGACAUUAUAUGAUUAUUUACUUCAAAACCACAUCAAAACAACAGUUAAAACUAAAAUCUGUUAACUAAAUUUUCUAAACAUAAACGAUUAUGAUAUAGUUAAAUGCACAUUUGGUAAUGCCAAUUUGCUUCUUGUCAUUAAAAUCAUAUAAGGAAUUCGAAUUAAUAAAAAUGAACAGGAAGUACUUGUCCUUCCAGCGCACCUAAUAUUAUCCCCAGUGUUUGGUGGUUUUCGUGUUACUGAGUUCAUAUUUUUAUAUGUUGUGUUUUGAGUACCAAAGUUUGUCCGUGUUUCGUUUUCCUUUUACGCUAUGGCGAGGUCAGUUUAUUUUCGAUUUAUGAGUUUGACUAUCCCUAUGUUAUCCUUUGCCCUUCUUUUACCAAGUAAAUAGGUGUUUUUUUCUUGUUAAUUAGUAAAUUUGUAAAAAGUAGUUUGCCUGAAAACUUUGAACAAAGAUUCGGUAAACUUCGUAUUUGGCAAAAUGUUAUAUGGAAAUGAUCGAAUGGUCGACUACCUGUAAAAACAAGAUGUUCGUAUUUUCUGAAAAAAUGUUAGAUUGAUUUUCUUUUUCUUUGGUUUUUUUUUACAAUUGAAGCUAACUAUUCAUCUUUUUUCAGCUUUUAAAAAUUUUGAAAACAAUACAGGAUAAUCAACACAAAAUGCCAUGUUUUGAUCCCAGAGAUGCCCUGUUUCUAACGAAUCAGUGGGAUAUCAUAAAUAACGAUGAGCCUUCAUCUGACGAAGACGAAGACCAGCAUACGCAGACAUGGAACUUUAUUCAGAACGAGUUAUCCAUUAACUGGCCGCAGUAUAUUUUCACGAAUUUGUUCCGCACUAGCUUGAAACAGGUGAAAACUUCUUUUUUUUGUAUAUAUUCUCAUCUUACACAUUGGUAUGAUAGGAUUUCUGCAAAUAGAAGUGGGACAUUUAAAGACGUAUCGUAUCUGUAUCUGAUUCAUUGAAGAAUAUGAACGUAUCUAUCGAAUUGUUUUUUAAUAAUUGUUUAAUAGAUGUAUUACAUGUACAUGUGUUUAUAUACUUGUUUCUUGUUUGUCAAAAUCCUGACUUCUUAUUGUACAUGUAUUCCCCUAAAAAUGAUGUUUCUACGAGAUAUAUUUACACAGUACCUAUAAUACAAUUGUAAAAGCAUGGACGACAGCAGAAGCUAAAAUCUAUACACAUUUAACAAUCACGUGUUUUUCGUGACAAUCUAUAUACUUGUAUAUGUUUUAGCACUAGAUAUUUAAAUCCUGAGAACUACCCAGGAGUGAAGUUGAAUUAUAUAACAUAUAAAGUUAACCUGCGGUUGACGAUUUAUUUACGCAUAAUUUUAAUUUGCUAAUAAAUGAAUCAUCCAACAUCAGCAGAGUCGGAUUGAUAACUGAUAUCAAUUUUUAUACAUUAAGAAGGCAAUACUUUUUUUUUUAGAGAGAACAUAAUUUUCAUCAUUUUCCUAUUUGUCCUCUCUUAUCCCUGUUUUCAAAAUUGUUUUUCACAGUUUUUGACUCAAUUAUUAACUAUAUCUGAAUUAGUAUCAUUUAAAUUCAUGCAUGAGAAGUGAUGAUCGAUGGUUUAAAUAUUGAGUGUUUAAAUAUAUAUAUUUAUUAAAGGUAUUAAGUCACAUGACGUUGUAACGGUCAAGUGAUUGUUUACUAUAAACACGUGUGUGUGUUUAUAUCAAGCACAUGGUGUGUGUUUACGUUCUAUUUGAUUGGAUGGCAUAUACCCGUACUGCCGGUUUUACGGGUAUAUGCCCUCAUGAUUUUCGUGAAAAGCAUGAUUAAGUAUUACUUAAGGGGGUAGCUUGAGAAAAUUAAGUUAUUCGAAGUUUGCCUAUAGUACGACGUAGCAGCAUUCGUUAUUGUGGUAUGUCUGACUCCGAGAAACUUCUAGAUUCCGACCAUGAAUCUUUGCCAGCUGGUACUAGUGUACAUUCGUUGCGUGAUGGUAUUUCUGCACAUAAUACUGGGAAUAACGACUUGGUGGAUACUUCUCUCUGUUUAAGACCUAUCUUGAUGGGAAGAUCGCUACUCUACACAAAGAUUUGGCAGUUGGCAACGAGAAUUUUGCUACCAAACUCAAGCAGGAAGUUUCAGUUAAACUCAAAGGUGAGGGCAACCAGAUACAAUUCAACUUUAAUUGUGAAAUCAUGGCCGACCUCGUUAAGCUCCAGAAGCGUAUUCCUGAUGAAGAUGCAGCUUGUCUUAAAUUGGUAUCUGGAGCUAUCCUUAAGGUUAAGAAGCGAAAUAAACUCAUCCGCAUUGCAGACAAAUCUCCUGCAGGAUGGAAAACCGUCCGUGAAUAUGAAAGCGACGACCUUGCCUCCGACUCCGAAGACGAGAAGCGCAUUCGUUCUGCAGAAACCCGUGCCAUCAGGAGUAUCAAGGAAAAGAAAAGACCUCAUCCUUAUAGAACCGCUACAGCUACUGCUUCUGCUCCUUCUGCACCUAUGCCUAAUCAACAUAACGCUAGACAAAACAACUACCAACAGCCGCCCUUUCGGACCGGCAGACGGAGGGAACCGUCAUCUCAGGACAUCUGUUACAACUGCAACCAGCUUGGCCACUGGCGAACUCAGUGCCCCCUCCUAUUCAGUACAAAACCAGGUGUCUCAGGGACAACAAGGCAACAGAAUUAAUGAUAAGUAUUUUUAUACUACUUUUUUAGAUGAAAGUAAUCUUUUACGGACAGUUUGAACUGUUUAUGUCACAUGCAAAAUAUUUUGAUAAUAUUGAUAUUUCAUCUGUUGCAAAAGGGGUGAAAUAUAGCUUACGCAAGCAUAUACAAUUUUGGAAACAUAUAGGUGCUAAUGAAGUUUGUUUAUAAAUACUAUCAAAAUGGGUAUGUUAUUCCUUUUUUGCAGACUCCUACAUCUAUGUCAUUUUAAGAAUAACAAAUCUGCUAAUGUCCAUUCUAAAUUUGUAAAUGAAGCAAUUUCAGAAUUACUUGAUAUCGGGGUGUUAUUGAAACUCCAUUUCAACCAUUUUGUUGUAAAUCCGCUUAGUGUUGCAGUUCAAAGUUCGGGCAAAAAACGUCUGAUUUUGGAUUUAAGUGAACUGAAUGUUUUUAUUAAAAAAGAAAGAAUUAAAUUUGAAGACUGGAAAGUGGCUUUAAACUAUUUCACAAAAGAUUGCUAUCUAUUUAAGUUUGAUCUUAAGUCUGGUUAUUUUCAUUAUGACGUAUGUACUAAACAACAAACAUAUUUAGGAUUUUGCUGGAACAAUAAAUUUUACUGUUUUUACAGUGUUAGCCUUUGGUCUUUCGUCUGCUCCAUAUCUAUUCACUAAAUGUUUACGUCCAAUCGUAAAAUACUGGCGAGAAAACGGCGUAGAUAUUGUGCUUUACUUAGAUGAUGGACUUGGAAUGGGUAAAAAUAAACAAGAAGCUUCCGAAUGUUCAUCUUUUGUAAAAACGUCUUUGUUAGAAGCAGGGUUUCUUAUUAACAUGGACAAAUCUAUUUUUUGAACCAGUCCAAUGUUUAGAAGUGGUUAGGUUUAGUUUGGAAUUCGUCUGAUUUUUCAAUUAGUAUAUCAGAUAGACGGAUUGAAAAUACCCUAGCAUCAUUGGUUGAUGUUUUGAAUAACUUUCCUAAUUUCACAGCACGAGAAUUGGCUCAGGUAACUGGAAAGGUAAUUUCUAUGUGUCCAGUCAUGGGUAACAUAACUAGUUUAAUGACCCGUUAUUUACACUGGGCUAUUGAAAGCAGAGUAAAGUGGGAUUUAAAUUUAAAUUGGAAUGUCCCGAUUGUGUAUUCAAUGAGCUCACAUUUUGGCUGAAUAACAUUCUAAGAUUGAACAGAAAACAUUUAGCAGGUUAUUCUUUUCCCACGUGGUUGUAUACUCUGAUGCAAGUAAUGUAGCUGCUGGUGCUUACUCGAUAGAUAUUGACUCUAAUAUUUUUUCAUCAGAUGUGGACUUUACAAGAGUCUAUACAGAGUUCUACUACUUGGAGAGAACUUCAAGCUAUUUUGUUAGCAUUGAUGUUUUUAAAAACCGUUUAAGAAAUAAAUGUGUUAAAUGGCAUACAGAUAAUAAUAACUGUGUUUCAUUGUUCAGAAAGGAAGUUCAAAAGUACAUUUACAAGAGAUAGCUAUGAAUAUUUUUAAGUUGUGUUCUGAAUUGAAUAUUACGUUAGAUGUUGUUUGGAUCCCGAGAUCUGAAAAUACUAAAGCUGAUUAUAUUUCAAAAAAUGAUUGAUAUAGAAGACUGGGUAACAAGCAUAGAAUUUUUUAAAUUUAUAGAUGAUAUGUGGGGUCCGCAUACUGUGGACAGAUUUGCGAGUAAUUUAAAUAAAAAAUUACCCAGGUUUAAUUCUAAAGUUCUGGAAUCCAGGUGUUGAAGCAGUUGAUGCGUUCACGCAAAAUUGGAAUAAUGAAGUUAAUUGGAUUGUUCCUCCAAUUUCUGUUGUCUGUAGAGCAAUUAAACAUUUGAUUUUAUGUAAAGCUAGAGGCACUUUGAUCAGUUCCAAAGUGGCCUUCCUCGUCAUUUUGGACAAUGAUUUUUAAAAGAGGUUCGCAUUUGCAACCAUAUGUAAUUGAUGUUUUAGAAUUUCAACCAAAUCAGAACAUUUUAUUCAUGGUAUGAAUAAUAAAGUCCUUGUUGGGAUCUUCUGAAUUCGUUUCUAGUGUUUUAGCUAUUAGAUUGAACGCUGAGUUCACGUAAGAAUUUACGACAAGGCUGUUGAGCAAGGUCGCAUAGUAAAGACAAGGCCAAUUUAUUGGCAAGGUCGUUUGUUGAUGACAAGGCCAAAUUUAAUAGGCAAGGUCUCACUGACAUGGCCAGUAUGAAAAAUAAAUCUGGCAAGGUCAUUUAAUUAUAUUGUAAGCUUGUUGUAUAGUAGAUUAUAUUUCUAUUUCAUAUGCACGUUUUUUCAGAUAUUUUUUCAUGUGGAAUAUGGAAAUCCUUGCCUAAGCCAGUCGACCAAGAUUUGACAUCUUUAUCUAAUUGCCUACCUGAGUUCUGUCUGCGUUCGAAGGCCGAGAAUACCAAAAGAAAAUAUUCAUAUGCAUUUAACAAUUUCUGUAAGUGGUGUAAUAACUAUUUAAAUGUUAAACCUUUACCAGCUUCAGAUUUUUAUGUUUCAUUGUACUUAAUACACCUGUCAAAGACAUUUAAUUCGUAUGCUAAGGUUGAAGAAGCAUAUUAUUCCAUAAGCUGGGCUCAUAAACUAGCAGGCUAUCCAAACCCGUGUUAUUCACAGUUGUGUAUAUCGGUUAAAGAAGGAGCUCAUAGAAAGAUUGGACAUGUUAUUGUAAAUAAAAAAGAACCAAUUACACCAGAUAUUUUAAAGAAAAUUGUUUAUUAAAUAUGGUCAAGAAUGUAACAAUCUUAUAGAAAUUAGAAUUUGUUGUAUGUGUCUUAUAAGCUAUGCAGGGUUCUUAAGGUUUUCUGAAAUGGUAAAUUUAAAAAGAUCUGAUUUAAAAUUUAGUGAUUCACAUGUCUCUUUGCUCAUAACGAAAAGCAAAACUGAUCAUUAUAGAGAAGGCACACAGGUUUUAAUUGCUAGAACAGAUACACAAACAUGUCCUGUUAGUAUGUUAGAGAAAUAUUUAUUAUUUUCAAUAUUGACGCAUCAUCUUCAGAUUUUAUAUAUUUAGAUCCAUGUAUUUAUGUAAAAAAUCUAAGUCUUAUAAACUGAGAGGUCUUAAACCUUUAUCAUAUACUAGAGUAAGAGAAAUUAUAUUAUCAGCUCUUGAAUCUAUCGUUUAGAUAAGUCCAAAUUUGGAUUACAUAGCUUGAGAUCAGGUGGAGCUACUGCAGCUGCAUCAGCUGGCAUUCAGGAUAGAUUAUUCAAGAAGCAUGGUAGAUGGGCUUCAGAUAAAGCCAAAGAUGGCUAUGUAAGAGAAAAUAUAAAAGAAAAACUGACAGUGUCUAAAAGUUUGGGAAUAUAAUUUCAUAAAUAUACUUUAUAUGUAUAUGUAUACUCUUUGUUCACAUCUCCUUGCUUUCUUGCUUUCUUUCGAAAGGCUGCUACAGCUGUAGGCACACUUAUCCUAUUUAUGUGUUGUUUUAUUUUAUUAAAUAAUUUAUAUUCGUUUGAGUUGGCGAAUUAGAAUAUAAAUAUAUUUUUUAAGGUAUUAAGUCACAUGACGUUGUAACGGUCAAGUGAUGUUUACUAUAAACACGUGUGUGUGUUUAUAUCAAGCACAUGGUGUGUUUACGUUCUAUUUGAUUGGAUGGAUAUACCCGUAUGCCGUUUACGGUAUAUGCCCUCAUGAUUUUCGUGAAAAGCAUGAUUAAGUAUUACUUAAGGGGGUAGCUUGAGAAAAUUAAGUUAUUCGAAGUUUGCCUAUAGUACGACGUAGCAGCAUCGUUAUUAUGUUUACCCACACACACCCCUUUAUGAGAUGGUUAUCGUUAAUAGGAGUAUAUGCAUUAGUACAUUAUAUUAAUAUGAAUUUCCUCUUUGUAGAUAGUUUUGAUUUGUACUGUUACUGUAUAAACUGUGGCUAUUGUAUGAUUGGAUUGGUAGUGUGCCUGAAUUUAAAGUGAAGGACUUUAGUUUGAGAAUGAAAUUGAAUGUAUGUAAUAUUAAAGGCUGCUACAGCUUAGGCACACUUAUCCUAUUUAUGUGUUUUUUUUAUUUAUAAAUUAUAUUCGUUUGAGUUGGCGAAUUAGAAUAUAAAAACGAGUAAACAUUUAUUAAAAACUAACGUGUAAUAAAAAGAGUGUAUUAAUGUCGAAAAGUCAUCUUACACAACACAAAAAUCCAUAUAAACUUGAACUAUUUAAUCAUUUUAAAGCAAUAAUCUAUAUCUACGUUCAGAUACGUCAACAUAUCAGAUACGGAUACGAUACGUCUUUAAAUGGCUUGCUUCUAUAAUGAAGUUUUAUAUGUUUUUACCUUAACUGAAGUCACGGGUCAACAGUUAAACUGCAAACUCCAUGAACAUUAUUACACUUUGUACAACAUUAUAAAUUAGUAUCACACGUCAAGAUGUCAGCACUUUGUUGACAUGGAUUAUCAUUGAUAUUGCCAAUAAAGUAAUCCAAAUGUUUACAAAAGCAGAAUAUUUCGAAAUACUUAGGAUUAUCUACCCCUGGAGUAGAUGACCUUAACUGUUUCUUGCAAAAUUUUUGAAAUUUAUGUCCUCAAUGCUCUUCAACAUCGUACUUAUAUCGGCAUUUUACACCUUUUUAUACGAGCGUGACGCACCAGACAUGCAAACUGAUUAUUCUAUUAUCUAUUAUUAUUUUAAAUAAAGCCACUCCAUAGUAUAUUCUUACCUCUAAAAGGGCAAUUAUUCAAUAUGUAAUCUUCUACAAUCAAGUUGUAACGAUUAGUUUGCUAUUUUUUGCUGCUUUCUACAAUAAAUUGGUCCAUGUUAAACAUAUUGUCUGAAUUCAACAUUUUGGAAACAAUGGAUAUUAAGUCAUUGUGACCACAGUCAGACUUCAACAAGUAGACACACUAAUUUAGAUUUUAGCCUAGAAUACAUAGUGAGUAGUGCUAUUAUACUGACAUGAUUUAAAACAUCCAUAUCAAAGUAAUUAAGUUUUAGUUGAAAACUAGUAGUACAGAUGCUUUUCUGUUGUAUUUUCAUCAAUCAAACCAUGUCCACAUUUGUAUUUUUUGGCAGGUUGAAGAAAACGAUAAUACAAUUUUAACUGCUGAGUACAAAAGAUUUGAACGGGUAUUAAAGGAAACGAUAGAGAACAAUAAAAAUAAGAGAGUAGUAUUCUAUUAUGGGUUGGUAACACACUUUCUUCUUCGUUCUGUUAUAAAACGAUAUAUUAAGUCAAAACUGUAAAACUUCAAAUUAUAUUUGUUAAAACCAUAGAAAUAAGAACCAUAGAAAAACACAUAAUAACGAAUCAUAACAUUUUCAUUGAUAUUUAACAACUAUUUUAUAAUUAACAUCAGUUUUUUCAAAGACAUUUCUUUCCAGCGGUUUUGAUACGUCGAUCGCAUGUUUAAUGUUUCUUUUUUUAUAACUUGUCUUUGAUAAUUUCACGAAUAGUAAAAUUAACUGAAAGGUGCUUUAUUAAGGAACUUUUGAAAAAGCAAACCUAUAAAAACAGGUUACACUCUAAAUUUAAUCUUUUAUAGGUUUCUAAAGAAAUUCAUUCGACAUGCAGAGAGAGGUGUACUCGCUAGAUUGAAUCUGUUAAAGGCAUCAGAAAGAGACAGUUUGCAAAGCAUAUAUCAAAGCAAAUCUAAGAUUCAGGAUUUGGUACUUAAACGCAUGACGGUAAAUAUAUGGGAAAAAAACGUAGGAAUUCCAUCAAUAUCAAUAAAAAAUGUGAAACCUUUGUGUACACUAUAUCAAUAAUUAGCUGCAUCAUCAUUCAAUUAUACCAAGAAACAUUUACCCUCUGUUUGCUUUAGAUAUAGAACACUAUCUACACGGUACAAAUUAUUUUAUGAUGCUAAUAUUUUGCUCAGAAUGGUAACGAAAAUCUUUUUCGACAGCAAUACUGUUUUAAUCAUUUUAGACUUAAAACUUAAUCGCUGAAUUUUCAACAGUUAAUGUUCUAAUGAGACAACUAUCACUCCAAGUCACAAUGAAUAAAAGUUUACAAUUGUAGACUAAAUUACGACCUUCAACACGGAGUCUAUAAAAAGCCUCAAAAUGACUACUCUGAAACAAUUCAAACAGGAAAACCAACGGUAUAAUCCAUAUAAAAAAACGAGAAAUGAAAAACACUAAUGGCUCACACCAACAAACGACAACAUCUGACCAACAAUCUCCUGACUUAGGACUUAGUGGGGAUAAACGUUUUAACAGGGCCAACCUUCAAUCUCUCAAUAUGUGAACAAUAAAAUAGAUUACUUCAGUCAACAAAUUGCAUGGCUUUGGCUAAUUUAAUUCAAUGAAAAAUAAUGAUCUGCUUAAUCUAUAUAAUUUUCAUGACUUUUUUGUUUUGCAUUGAAACGAUGUGUCUCAAAAUUGAGAUUGCUACAAUUUGUUAAUGCAUUAUCUUCGUUAAUCAGUAAGAAAUCUUAAAGUGACAUAGACAGUAAUUAUUGGUGUAAAUUAAAGUAUAUCUUUAAAUUUGUAGACAAAAUAUGAAUUGGAUAGGUACAAAUCGGAGGUCAUUUCAAAACUCGCAGAGAAGCUAUAUGUCUACCUUCAGUCUGAAGAUGGAAUGCACAAAAUUUUAAAUCCAUCUGUUAAAAAUGAAAUAGAUAGAAUCGAAUCGAUGUCACUAGAAAAAGAAGUGAUAUCACGAGUUGAGUCUGGAAUUCAGCAAUGGUGUCAGGGAAAGGAAGCAGAAUCAAUCAUUAGAGAAGCCGAUGCAACAAUCAGAACACAUGUAAAUGAAGUUGAGUCUAAAUUGAAAGAAAUUGAGAUCGAGAUGACAGGAAUAGAUUUAAGUGCUGACACAAUGUUAUUCUUUGAUCGAACAGCCCUUAAUUUUUUAAUGGUGCCAUUAUUGAUAGUAUCAAUAAUCGUAGGUUCUUUCUUGUUAGGUCCAUACAUAGUUGUACAAGAAUGGUAUAUCGGGGCUGAGGGUCGUCGCCAAAAGGCAGAGAAUAUUUAUAAGGAUUGUCUUAAAAAGCUUCCGGUGGCUAAAUUAAAAGAAAGUUUCGAAAAAUCAUUUGGUGUAGAAUACAGUAAGAAAAUAAAUGAUAUUUUUGACAUAUCUUUACCAAAAGUAAUAGAAAGUCUAAGUACAACAAACACAUGGC
rnacentral:lncRNA from 1 species